rnacentral:rRNA from 1 species
UGGGGAAUCUUCCGCAAUGGACGCAAGUCUGACGCAGCAACGCCGCGUGAGUGAAGAAGGAUUUCGGUUCGUAAAACUCUGUUGUUAGAGAAGAACAGCGCAUAGAUUAACUGUUAUGGGUGUGACGGUAUCUAACCAGAAAGCCACGGCUAACUACGUGCCAGCAGCCGCGGUAAUACGUAGGUGGCAAGCGUUGUCCGGAAUUAUUGGGCGUAAAGCGAGCGCAGGCGGUCAAUUAAGUCGGAUGUGAAAGCCCCGGGCUCAACCGGGGAGCGUCAUUGAAAACUGGUUGACUUGAGUGCAGAAGAGGAGAGUGGAAUUCCAUGUGUAGCGGUGAAAUGCGUAGAUAUAUGGAGGAACACCAGUGGCGAAGGCGACUAUCUGGACUGUAACUGACGCUGAGGCGCGAAAGCGUGGGUAGCAAACAGG